rnacentral:rRNA from 1 species
GAUGAACGCUGGCGGCGUGCUUAACACAUGCAAGUCGAACGGUGAAGCGCCUUCCUUUUUCGUGGGUGUUGAUGGGUGGCGAAGGGGUGAGUAACACGUGAGCAACCUGCCACCUUCUGCUUGAUUACGGCAAGAAAGUGUGGCUAAUGCGGGAUAUUUUGAGCCGGUCGCAUGAAUGGUCAGGGAAGGAUUUGGUUUCGGUGGUGGAUGGGCCCGCGGCGCAUUAGCUAGUUGGUGAGGUAAUGGCUUACCAAGGCAGUGAUGCGUAGCCGGCCUGAGAGGGGGAUCGGCGACAAUGGAAGUGAGACACGGUCCAGACUCCUACGGGAGGCAGCAGUAGGGAAUAUUCCGCAACGGGCGGAAGCCGGAUGGAGCAACGCCGCGGGAUGGAUGAUGGACUUCGGAUCGUAAAACACUGUUAUUAGGGAAGAACAAAUGUGGAAUUAUCUGUGCACGUCUUGACGGUACCUAAUCAGAAAGCCACGGCUAACUACGUG